rnacentral:rRNA from 1 species
CCUACGGGUGGCUGCAGUAGGGAAUUUUCCACAAUGGGGGCAACCCUGAUGGAGCAACGCCGCGUGCAGGAUGAAGGCCUUCGGGUUGUAAACUGCUUUUAUAUGUGACGAAUAUGACGGUAGCAUAUGAAUAAGGAUCGGCUAACUCCGUGCCAGCAGCCGCGGUCAUACGGAGGAUCCAAGCGUUAUCCGGAAUUACUGGGCGUAAAGAGUUGCGUAGGUGGCAGAGUAUGUCAGUAGUGAAAGCGUGUGGCUCAACCAUAUAUACAUUACUGAAACUGCUCAGCUAGAGAACGAGAGAGGUUAUUGGAAUUCCUAGUGUAGGAGUGAAAUCCGUAGAUAUUAGGAGGAACACCGAUGGCGUAGGCAGAUAACUGGCUCGUUUCUGACACUAAGGCACGAAAGCGUGGGUAGCAAACGGGAUUAGAUACCCGGGUAGUC